AUACAGAGGGUGCAAGCGUUAAUCGGAUUUACUGGGCGUAAAGCGCGCGUAGGCGGUUCGGUUAGUUGGAUGUGAAAGCCCAGGGCUCAACCUUGGAACUGCAUCCAAUACUGCCAGACUAGAGUACGGUAGAGGGGGGUAGAAUUCCACGUGUAGCGGUGAAAUGCGUAGAGAUGUGGAGGAAUACCAGUGGCGAAGGCGGCCCCCUGGAUCGAUACUGACGCUGAGGUGCGAAAGCGUGGGGAGCAAACAGGAUUAGAUACCCGGGUAGUCC
rnacentral:rRNA from 1 species